CUCAUACUCAUUUUUAACAACAUAUUAACAUAAUAAAAUAUUUUACAUGUAAAUUCAAAAAAAAAUCUACUUUUUAACUGCAUUCUUUAAAAAAAAAUCACUAUUUAAAACAUCAAUUUUUCUAAAUAAUGGCCAUCAGAUAGGACCAUAGUCUAAAAUAUAAACUCCAUACUAAAUGAUUUCAAAAGAUGUCUCUUGCUUAGGGAACAUUUGGAAGGCAAGGAUUUAUUCUUGAAAGGCAAGUGGGAACUUGGAAGGCAAGGAUUAUUCUUGGAAGGCAAGGUGCAACUUGGAUUGGCUUGCUUGGCACUUUGUCAGACCAGGUGGGGAGCGCUCGGACCCUGGCCAGUUGGAGGCACAUCCUGCGAUUAACCGGACUGUGUGAAGAGGGGCCGGAUCACAGACCCAA
rnacentral:lncRNA from 1 species